UUUCCGGAUGGUAACUCAAGAAUGCUUUGGCCUAGGAUCAUGAAACUUCAUAGGUACAUUGAUCAUGACUGGCAGAUGACCCCUAUUGAUUUUCAGGUCACUAGGUCAAAGGUCAAGGUCACAGUGACUCGAAACAGUAAAAUGGUUUCCGGAUGAUAACUCGAGAAUGCUUACGCCUAGGAUCAUGAAACUUCAUAGGAACAUUGAUCAUGACUGGCAGAUGACCCCUAUUGAUUUUCAGUUCACUAGGUCAAAGGUCAAGGUCACAGUGACUCGAAACAGUAAAAUGGUUUCCUGAUGAUAACUCAAGAAUAAUUAGGCCUAGGAUCAUGAAACUUCAUAGGUACAUUGAUCAUGACUGGCAGAUGACCCCUAUUGAUUUUCAGGUCACUAGGUCAAAGGUCAAGGUCACAGUGACUCGAAACAGUAAAAUGGUUUCCGGAUGAUAACUCGAGAAUGCUUACGCCUAGGAUCAUGAAACUUCAUAGGAACAUUGAUCAUGACUGGCAGAUGACCCCUAUUGAUUUUCAGUUCACUAGGUCAAAGGUCAAGGUCACAGUGAC